GGCGUAGGCGGCUCGUCAAGUCGGAUGUGAAAUCUCCCGGCUCAACUGGGAGGGUGCAUUCGAAACUGACAGGCUAGAGUGCAGCAGAGGAAGAUGGAAUUCCCGGUGUAGUGGUGAAAUGCGUAGAUAUCGGGAAGAACACUAGUGGCGAAGGCGGUCUUCUGGGCUGUAACUGACGCUGAGGCCCGAAGGCGUGGGGAGCAAACAGGAUUAGAUACCCUGGUAGUCCACGCAGUAAACGAUGGAUACUAGGUAUGGGGAGUAUCGACCCUCUCCGUGCCGAAGCUAACGCUUUAAGUAUCCCGCCUGGGGAGUACGGUCGCAAGACUAAA
rnacentral:rRNA from 1 species